UUUCAUUGAUUUUAUUAUUUUAAUCACUUCUCUGUAUAGUUAAUCAUUAUUACUUAUUGAUCAGUUUAUCUAUGUAUUAUUUAAUCAUUAGAGUAUUGAGUAUUAAUCAGCUAUGCUUGACCGCACAGUGGUAACUGUUUCUACCUAUACAAUUUAUAUAUCAUUAGUUAGAAAGCUCAGGUGAAUUUCUCUGUGGUCAGAAUUAUCUGUGUUCUCAUUGGUUAAUUGGGACAUACCCCCAGAUUUGAAAUGGGUAUUGUUUGAGUAAAAUGGAGAAUUUAUAUUUACUUUAGUUUGUGCCAUUUCUAUAUUGUUUGGAAUGGAAUGAUAUUUCAUUGAUAGUCAUUUGCAGUAUUUUGGACAUAUGGAAUUUAGUAUAUUCACUUUAUAAGGACCCAUUGAUCAUACAGACAUAUAUUUGAUGUUAGAAGUAGAGCAUUGGUUAUAAUGCUAAUGUAGUGCUGUUGAUGUUAUAGCCUGAUUCCAUAAAUCGGGCUGUAUUUAUUAUAUUUCUUGAAUAUUAAUAAAGUAUGAAGAACCCUAAACAGAGUGUUGUUAUACGAGCAUUAAAACCACCCUGUAAUAUUGGCGCCCAACGUGUGUUUCUGGUGGAUUAAAGAAACAGAAUUUGAUGACAUUUUCCGAAGCUGAAGCUGUUUUACUACACAUUACGAUAUACAGGAAAUUACUGGUGUAAAUAGAGUUCACCUACAGUUAUGUUGUACAUGAUUGAAUUUAAACACAUGUAUAUAAAUAAACUGAUUUAUAAAUAGAUUCAUUAUAUAUAUAGAAUGGUGAUUCACAGUUAGAUGAUUUCUAAAUAUACUG